AACACUUGUGUUUUUGUUUAAUUUAUGAACUUAUAGACAGGUGCAAAACAUAAAUCCUCUUUUGCAACCCAGAACUCAUUGAGUAUGAGUUUUGAUACAUAUAAGAAGGUAUAUA
rnacentral:snoRNA from 1 species